UCUUGGGCAAUAUGACAACCCAAACGGGAAGCAAGCGAAGCAGAGCUUCAAUGGCGGCAAGGGAUGGAGAGGAAGAGGACUACAUGGGCGACAUCUCCGCCUUCCUUCCCGCCGAUGAUCCUCAGUACAAGAAGAUAGCCAGCUGCAAGAAUCGUCAGCCGCCGCAGCCGGAGAAGCCGAAGCUCCCGAAGAGUUUGCCGUGGCAGGAGCGGCGGCGGCUGGAGAAGGAGAGGAGGCAGCGAGCGGAGGACGAGAAGACGCGGGCGGCGCUGGAGGUAGCGAUCCCGGAGACGAAUGUUGGUUUCAAGAUGCUGAGGAGAAUGGGGUAUAGGCCGGAAGAAGGACGGGCGGAGCCGGUCGGGAUUGAGAUACGCCGGGCAAGGGAGGGGAUCGGAGUGGGGGAGGAGAAGAAGAGGAAGGAAAGGGAGGUGGUGGAGAGGAAGAGGAUAAGAGAAGAGGAGAUGGAGUCGGAUUUCGGGUGCAGGAGAAGGUUGGAAUGGAGGAGUCGCAGGGUGGCUGGAGAUUAUCGAAAGGCAGAAGCUGCUUUGGCGCAGCUGGAGAACAGGGAGGUUGAGCCAGUGAAGGAGGAUGAGGGUGAGGAUCAGGAGGAGGAGGAGGAGGAGCAGCAGAUCACUGAAGAGGACUUGCAUGGCCUAUUGUUGAAGUUGAGGGAUGAGUAUCUCUACUGCCUUUAUUGCGGAUGCAAGUAUGAAUCAAUGGAGACAAUGUUAAAUGAUUGUCCUGGACCCCAUGAAGAGGACCACUAAAACCCUAAUUUCUCCGGGGCUCGGUUGUUGUGUUCGAUACAAUUAGCGGAUUUGUUGGAUCUGAUUUUUAAGCAUGUCUGCAGGCAUUAGAUACGUGAAAAGCCUUGUCAGUUGUCGCUUGUCAGACAUCAAGCACGUUACUGUUGAGAAGUAAAUGCCAUACAUGCUUAUCAAUCUCCUCACACUGUUGGUUGCCUCUGAGGAAAGUCACAUACUGCAUUUGGAAAACAGAAAAUGAAGCAUUCUGGUAGGAAUUUUUGAGUUAAUAAGACACUGAAUCUCCUGACCACUCACUUAGAGGAGAGAUGAUUGGGCAUUGUAUCUCGAAAUUAAGUUUAGUGAUGUUUAUUCAGUCUGCAGCAGUACAUGGCAACAUGUUUAUUAAGCAUACAAUAAUAAAAACAACAGCCAAGAUGAUCCAAA